AAAUAUCCUUUAAUUAUACUUUAAUUAUAGUAAACUCAUACUGAUUAUUCACAACUACCCAUUGUCACAGGGCCUGCUACAUCACAGGAUUUUUUAGAAAUCUCAAUGACACAGAAUUUUGCGAAGAU
rfam:Populus trichocarpa isolate Nisqually-1 chromosome 2, whole genome shotgun sequence.